CAGACUGAAAAUGCAUACACUGGGGGAAUGCAUUAUCAUUAACGUGCCAACCCACGAGGCAAAAAGAAGACCCCCGAGGUAACAGGGGCUGGAUAGUAGAGGUUUUAUGGCCUCACGCGUAUUUGCAUUGCAGAAAUCAACGACGCAAGCUUCAAACUUCUACCAUCCUUUUGUUGAGAAAUUGUCACGCUUUCAACGAAAUGAUUAUCACCAGUAGUUUGGUCUGAUACAUCGGGCCCAGCGUGCAAUAAACUUUGAAUCAUUAUUUUAUUAAGUUUGUUCGUUCGGCUCGAGUUACCAGAUCGAUCUAAAAUCAGCAAUCUCUUCUGGUCAAUGUUGCACGGUAAGCCAGUAUGUGUUGACGUAGCUCCUGCUCAGUUGGUGAGAAUGACGUCAGUGUUCUAAGUCGAGCCUUUGAUAUCUCCAAGUCCUAGAAUUAUUGGGGGAGUUUAUCACACGGUUUUGCGAAAUAUUUCCUCGUGGAAAUCAGAGACUAUUCUUAUGAUUAAAUUUUUUCCAAUAGUUUUUUACGCCUCAACAUUAUUUUGCUACGAACGAAUGCAAUUUUAGAGAAAAAGUUUCUCAUGAAUUUUGAUGUUUCAAAUAUUUUUGUUAAUAGGACAAUAUUCUGAAAUGCGAAUGGAAAUGAAUGUAAGUGAAUAUAUAUUUUACCUUUAAUAAGUUGGAAUUUCGAGAUUUAGCAUCGCUGUUCAUCGGAAUCAUUGACUUUAACAAAUUUCUCGUACCUGACAGCUGCGGAGAAUUCGUAACUCCACGUUGAGUUUCACUGGAACGUAGUAGAGGGUAAUAGUAAUGUGCCAACAAUAUAAAUUACAUAAUUGUUCUUCUCCUAUUAAGUAUAGAUUACAUUAUUUUCAAUUGUUCUCUAGCUUCUGCCUCCUCUCUCUCAAAGAUUUUUUCAACUUCCUGGAUAUCUGCGACUCUGGACUGCAUAAUUACCUGCGACAGAUGGUGAGUGGCUUCUCGGUAACUAUAGCAACCGAUCAUCGAUUUUCACAACUCAGUAUGAGCUCAAAUUAAAAAAACACAAAUUGUAGAGAAUUCUUUGAACUUUAAUACUAUUUUCGUAAUAAUUACAUCAUCUAUUAUUCAUUGGUAAUUUACAAAAAAAUAGAUAAAUUUGUUUAUCCUAACAGUUCCUCUGAUGUCAAACAUUUUGGCUGAAAAAAAAAUUGUUAAA